AGUGCUUUAAAAUUAUAUUUCAGUUGAAAGAUUUUGUAUUCUAAAGUGUUUUUGUGACUGUGUUUUUAUUAAAACAACAAGAAUGCAUUGACCUCUGCAAGGUUCGGCGAGCAGCUGACAGGUGCAAAUCGAUAGUUUCGGGUACUUGUGAUAAUAGGUGUCGUAUGUAAUCAAACAUCCAACCACGUCGGCAUUAAUCAGCUGAUAAGGCGUAGAUGUCAUCGUAUAAAAUAUAUUUUGAAAUUUAGUCAUUGUCGAAACAACUUGUGAAACUUCUACACAAUGUGCGACUGUCUUAAAUCAGUAUUCUGUUGCUUAUGCAACUUGAGUAUGAGCAUAUUAUGCUGUUUGGGCGUAGUUGGUGUACUAAUUUUGGCAGCAAUUGGUGUAGGACUAUACUUUGGCCUUAAGGAUGGACCACCUGAUCAUUAAUAGUUUAAGAUUCAUACAAACCAGACACGCAAAAUCAUAAUCUCAAUAUCGCGAUCAUUAUAGUUUAAGGAAAUUAUAAUAUUCAUCAUUAUCAAUAAAUAUAUGCUACAUAAUAGUUUAAUCUUUGUUAUAUAUGUAAAGUUCUAGUGUAACUCAAAUACUUUAAUUUGUUCUAAAAAAAGUAUGUAUCUCAAAUAUUGCCAAGUCGAUGCAAUAUAAUGUAUUUUGAUAAAUAAAAAAAAAUAUUUCUGUGUAACGCAUGCUCGUUAUAUUCAUAAUAACAGUUAAGUUAGAUUCAAGCUAAAAAAAUUGUUUCAGAGUUAGAUACCAAUCAACGAGAUUCAAGUUAGAAUAUUUUUACAAACUCAUAAAAUGAAGAUUUUAACGAGAAUUUUGAAAGAGUUUAGCAAGAUUUCUGUUAAAAACAAGUCAGAUUCAAGUUAGAUUAGUUAGAUUGUUUGAUUCAAGUUAGAUUCAGGUUGAGAAUAAAUAUUUCUAAUAUAGAUUAAAAGGUUAUUUAAAUAAAAACUUUGAAAAAGAUAAGGUUAAUAUAUAUUGUA